rnacentral:rRNA from 1 species
UCCCCCUGGUUUUUCAAAAACAUCGCCUCUUGAUUAAACAUAAGAGGUCCAGCCUGCCCAGUGACAUAGUUUAACGGCCGCGGUACCCUAACCGUGCGAAGGUAGCAUAAUCACUUGUUCUUUAAAUAGGGACUCGUAUCAACGGCAUCACGAGGGCUAUACUGUCUCCUUUCUCCAAUCAAUGAAACUGAUCUCCCCGUGAAGAAGCGGGGAUUAACCUAUAAGACGAGAAGACCCCAUGGAGCUUCAAACUCAACAUAUACCUCUACGCACUUAAACCACUUUAGCCCAAGAGACCUCUAUGUUAGUUUUGGGUUGGGGGGACCGCGGAGUAAAAAUUAACCUCCACGACAAACGGGCUUUAUGCCCUUAUCCACGAACUACAACUCUAAGAAUCAAUAAACUGAUGUUUAUGACCCGAUUAUUCGAUCAACGAACCAAGUUACCCUGGGGAUAACAGCGCAAUCUACUUCAAGAGCCCCUAUCGACAAGUAGGUUUACGACCUCGAUGUUGGAUCAGGGUAUCCUAGUGGUGCAGCCGCUACUAAUGGUUCGUUUGUUCAACGAUUAAAACCCUACGUGAUCUGAGUUCCAAAACCGGA